GACGGUUGCUGCUUUGGGUGUCUGUGGAGCGUCUCCUCUGCGCAGGGGGCUGUGCCUUCCACUCUGGGGAGGGAGGCAGAGGGAGCAGAAUCCCUGCCUGAAACAGGAGACACCAGGAAUCGUGUCACAGUGAAAGAGUUGGAGGUGACACACCUCCAGGACCGGGGAGGUCACGAGAUAGAGAAAGGGAAGCCCGGGUGGCCCAGGGAGGUCUUUGAGAAGGUGGCGCCCAAACUGGGUCUGGAUGAUGUUGGAAUCCAGAGAAAUGGGCCUGUAACGUGGCAUGUCUCUCCCAGGUGCCUACUACUGAUGAAGGGGAGCAGGAGGAAGGCCGAAGGAAGAUUUCUGAAAAAGCAACCAGCCUCCCAGGUCAGGACUGGGGACGAGUGUGUGUGUGUGUGUGUGUGUGUGCGCGUGCUGGGGAUUACCACUGAGUCACAUCUCCAGCCCUUUUUAUUUUGAGAUGAGGUCUUGGUAACUUGCUGAGGCUGGCCCCAAACUUGCAGUCCUCCUACCUCAGCCUCCCAAGUCACUGGGGUUACAGGCCUGUGCUACUGCUCCCGGCAGGAUUGGCUAUCUUUGUCUUCCUCUGAUCUGGUGGACACGAGACUCUUUGCAUAAAAUCUUUUCAUAUUUGGAUACUUGGCAGAGGAUAAAAUGGCAGAAAUAUUUAAUUACCUGAUUCGUUCAAGUGUGACGUGGUUAGCUAAAACUUAGUGAGGGGACCAUGCGCAGAAGGGAGGAAGCAGUGAACUAUUUCACAGUUGGCCCAGGGUACAAAUGGGUGUGCCACCCACCACGUUCCUGGAGUCAGAAAUGGUAUGCAGACGAGGGGGGGGGUCUUUGUCCUGAGAACCUUGCCUUUCAGCCCCCGCUCCCCACACCUUCAGGUCUGGGAAACAAGAAAGGCCGCGGGUCCUGUGCGUUGGACUAAAUGUGUGGGACUCCGGGGUCCUGGCCCCAGGGUCAGAGGCUGGGCAGUUCCUUGGAUGACUCCCGGGCUGUCCGAGGAGGUCCUGGGUCCGGUGUCCCUGCCUGGCUGGCUCCUUCCAGGUGGACGGCCUAGUGUGCGCAGCGCACCUGGAGGAGCUACUGGACCCGGGGCUGAGCUCUGCGCAGCUGGGACGGCACAGACUUCAGCUCCUCCAUCUUCCCUCUCCCUCUGCUUUCCCCACCUCAGGGCCUUUGCACCUGCUUGUUCCUCUGUCUGGAUGCUCUUCUUCCACCCUCCACUUGACCAGCUCCUUCCUACCACCCAGGUUUCUGCUCAAAGGCUCCCUUCUCAGAGAGCCCGUUCCUGACCCUCAUGUAUGACAGAGGUCCCCUCUCCCACGGAGACUCUCUUCCCUUCCUGGGUUUGCUUUUCUUUUUUCUUUUUGGUAGUGGGGAUUGAACCCAGAGGCACUAACCACAAGGCAACCUCCCCAUCUCCAGCCCCUUUUUCAUAGUUUAUUUAGAGACAGGGUCUCACUGAGUUGCUUAGGGCCUCGCUGAGUUGCUGAGGCUGGCUUUGAACUCACGAUCCUCCUGCCUCGGCCUCGAGAGCCGCUGGGGUUCCAGGCGUGGGCCACUGUGCCAGGCCUGUGGUUCGCUUGUCAUCAUCGCCGUGGCCACCGCUAACGUCACCUUGCACGUGACCUGUUAGUCUGCCUCCCUCGACCACACUGUAGUGUCCAGGGGGAGGGUCUUCUCCGUCAUGCCUUUCUGUGUCCUGGAGACUUAGGGCCAAGCCUGGCCACGGGACCCUCCAGACUUUACUGAAUGAGGGAGGGGGAUGGUGACAGAUGACGAAGUAGUGAUCAUGAGCAGCAGGCGUCUGCUCUUCCUGUCAAGGUGUGGGGUGCGCCCCGAGGGACCUGUCUUUGAGGUCCGUGAACGCUCACCGGUCAGGCUGCUGGGCAGUGCCUGGCCCUGGGUGGCAUCAACACCAACAGUGGGCAGCAUUCGUCGGAGGCCUAGGUCCUGGGUCCACCCGGCUGGGGCUCCUGCCUUCCCAGUGGGACAGUGGUGGCUUUGCUUAGGUGUCCCUCUGGCCGGUCCGGGGUCUCUGGCACUCGUAGGAAGGGUCUUUCUGGGGCAGUUAUUAUGAAGCUGAUUGUCCUUUCCUUCAUUCAGUGACACGUUUUGAGAGCUGCUUUGGAGCAGGCCACGGGAGCCGCUGGGAGCCGGGCUGAGGCACCCGGCCUCCUCUGGCCAGAGAGCCAGCUUGGAGGGACUGGGGUACCCGGGGGGACACUCAGCUUGAGUGGGGGUCCCUUCUCAAAGGAAGUGACCUCAUCUAGUCUGAGACCUACUGGUCAGGUAGGGCCUGGGCCGCACAGGGCUGCAGCCCGGGGGGGGCGAGAAGGGGGCGACCUGUGCCCACUGGGCGGAGCGGGGCCACGUGGCCUCCUGUUCCUCCUGUGUCUCCUCCUUUUUUUGUGGCUCUGGGGCCUGAGCAGGGCCUGUCGUGCGAGGCAGCCUCUCCCCCUGAACUUCGCCCCAGCCCAACCCUUUUUCUUCUUCUCCAGGGCAAGAUUCUCUGCCCGUCCCGCUGCCCACGUUCCUGGUAGCUGGGGGAAGCCUGGCCUUCGGCUCGCUGCUGUGCGUCGGCAUCAUCCUCAGGUGAGACGGGCGGGGGUCUCUGUGACGUCCUGUGUGUCGUAUGUAGCUGCCCUUCACCCCGGAACCACCAAAUGUACAGGGGCUGGGGACGGGGCUUGGUGUAGAGCCCUGGCCUGGGGAGCACGGCGCCCUGGGUUCUAGCCCAGCAGCGUGUGCACACAGACAGACACACGUGCACACGCACACACUCACACACGCGCGCACACGCACAUACACACGCGUGCACACACGUGCACACACACACAGAGCCUGCAGUGAGAAGUGCUUUGGGGUCUUGGAGGCCUCCGGCUGGCGGGCGUGGUGGUGCACCCCUGUGAUCCCAGUGACUCAGGAGACCCGGGGAGGCAGGAGGAUUGCGAGUUCGAGGCUCGCCGUGGUGACUUAGAAAGAUCCUGAAUCCACAUAAAAAAAUCUAAGUGGCUUAGGGCCUUGCUCAGUUUCUGAGACUGGCUUUGAACUUGUGAUCUUCCUGCCUCAGCCUCCCAAGCUGCUGGGAUCGAAAUUAUUUUUUUAAAAAAAUUAAAAAGAGGCUGGGGAUACAGCUCAGAGGUCAGGUGCCCUGGGUUCAAUCCCAUUUCCACACACACACCAUCUGGGAGCAUUUGCUCAUCCAUUUAUUCACUCAGCAAAUGAAGGCACCUCCAGCACACAGAGCGCCCACUAGGAGGCUACCCUGAUUCAGCGCUGCAGGACAGAGGCCGAUAGGGUGGAGGCUGUCUAAUGCGGAGGGCAGACUGGGUAGGUGACCACAGGUGUGUGGGUGACAGCUGCCAACAGAGCCGCUGAGCUGGGCACGGAGGCCCACGCCUGUAAUCCCAGCAGCUUGGGAGGCUGAGGCAGGAGGAUCGUGAGUUCAAAGCCAGCCUCAGCAACUUAGCAAGGCCCUGAGAAACUCAGUGAGACUCUGUCUCCAAAUAAAAAAUAAAAAGGGCUGGGGAUGUGGCUCAGUGAUCAAAUGCCCCUGGGUUUAAUCCCCAGUACCACAAACAAACAAAACUUCUUUUGGAUACAGAACUGGUUAUUUUUGUUUGUUGGUUGGUUGGUUGGUUGGUAUAGGGGGAUUGAACUCAACCACUGAGCCACAUCCCCAGCCCUAUUUUAUUUAGUGACAAAUUCUCACUGAGUUGCUUAGGGCCUCGCCAUUGCUGAGGCUGGCUUUGAACUCACGAUCCUCCUGUCUCAGCCUCCAGAGCUGCUGGGAUUACAGGUAUGUGCCACUGUGCCCUGCUCCUACCUUUUAAAUUUAGCAUUCUAAUAUAAGCAUUUUUUUUCCAUGUAUUUACAAAUCCUUUGCAAACUCACUUUCAUUAGCUGCAGAUCCCUCUAUCCGGGAUUAAUACCCAAGUUCACUAAACCAGUCUCCUAUUAUUGGGCAGUUGGAUGUUGUUCUGCUUUUAUAAACAACACUGUGCUGGACAUCUUUGUGCCAUAAGCUUCUCCAUAGCUCUGUUAUUCCCAGAAGAGGAAUUCCUUAGUCAGAGGGUCUGAAUAUUUUGCAAUCCAGAGUAUAAAGAAUCUGUCCUCUAUCUUCUCACAGGGGAGGAGAAUUCCACUCAAGGACUCAGCAAAACUUCAAUAAGCACCCCGCUGGGCUCUUCCUGUGUGGGGCCCAAGUGGCGAAGCCCUAAGUCACAUUCUGAGGUUGUUUAUUCCAUUUGGUCAGUGGGCUCAGAGCCAAAGGCAGACUUGGAGCCAACUAUCAAUUAUCUAUCCUCACAAGGACAGGAAUAGCCUGCUGAUAUAAAAAGAAGCCAAGGAAAAUGCCCAAAUUUUGUUUUUGAUGUUGGUUUCCCUUCCUCCCCGUGGUGCCUCCUGGAGCCACUGAUAUGUGCUGGACUCAGGGAGGCCAUCUUUCUCCCACUCUGGGGACAAGUCAGCCACAAGGUGGUCAGGAGACGGGGGAGAAGAGGCCCGGCUGCCUGGGCGCGGGUGAAGGGCCCCUUCAGGAAGGAGACCGGCUGCACCUUUGAAGAUCAAUGUCACCAUCUCCUCUUUCUCUGAUUGUCAAGUGACUUCUCUCCGUUGCUGAGCCUGGCUUUGGGCCCAGUGUGGAGCCCCGUGAGCAAGGCUGUGAUCAGAGAGAUAGAUGUCUAUCUCCUUCCUGUUUAGCACCGACUUUCCUGUCGGAUGAGUCAACCUGUGCCCGUGUGCCCACAGCGUGAGGGUGGGCACUCUCGCUGGUUGGGUGGGACGGACCAGAGGCUCAGGGAGAGUUGGGGGGAAUGGGAAUGUCAGGGACAGGAGUGUCACCAAGGGCCACUGAAUGGUGGUUGCACGUGGUCUUCGGGCUGGCCUUGAUUUGAAGGAGGCCCAUUUUCCUUCCCUCUAAAAGAAGACGUUGCUGUUUUGUUUUUUAGUCCUGGGGAUUGAGCCCCGGGGGUGCCCUAUCACUGGGCCACAUCCCCAGCUCUUUUUACUUUUUGUUUUGAGACAGGGUCUUGUUAAGUGGCCCGGACUGGCCUAGAACCUGGGGUCCUUCUGCCUCGGCCUCUUGAUUCAUUAGGAUCACGGGCAUGAUCCACCAUGUCUUGAUGUUUCCCUUUUCAAAAAUAAAUGGACUGGGGACUGACGAUGGAUAGCCUGUGGGACAGGACAAAUUGAGGGAUUAGCAGGGACUUGCUGGUGCUCCACCAGGACAACCCUGCCUGCCUCAGUCCCCCUUUUGCCUAGCCGUGGAGACCUCCCUUCUUGGGAUGCUUGGGGAACUCAGCCGCUCUCCGGAGGCUGGCAGAAUCUCUGGGGUUUGAGACCAGCUGCUGAUGGGAUGAAUCAUCAUCACGCCUUGGAGCCGAGCCUGGGCGCUCCAGACCUCCAGGGCCACCAGCUGUUGGGUUCAUCGCAGGGGACCGUCACAUGGGUGUGAUGUGUCUUUGUGUGUUUGCGUGCAGGUUCAAGAAGACGUGGAAGCCACAGGCCCUGAAAGAGUGCAAGACGGGCGUGCACCCGCCGUAUUCCCUGGGGCAGUCCAAGCCCACCAUUGUGCUGGCUCCCCUCCUUUCCCCACCUGUGUCCCCCAGCAGCCUCGGCUCAGACAGCACCUCGAGCCACAGCCGACCAGAUGCCAGGGACUCGCGGAGCCCUUACGACAUCAGCAACAGAGACUACUUCUUCGCCAGAUAGCUGUCUGGGUGGCCCCUGGCAGCGGGGUGACAGAGGUGCUGAAUUGUGUGGGUGACGCAGCCCACGCUGGCUCUGGAAAGACGCUUCUCACUGCCAUUCCAGCUCAUCUCAGGGGCGUGGGGCAUUUGGCUUCACGGUGACGGAAGAGCCUGCAGAAGGUUCUAGACUGGUGGAAAUCGGCUUGCUACACCUGUUCUGAAGGAAGAGCUGGUUGAGCUUUCAAACCGCUCUUCCCAAGCGCUCUGCUUCGGGGGGUCUCAGCGACUCAGGACACUGUGAAGAGAGCCGCGCCAAGACUCGAUGGGACCGAGGGUGUGGAGGAGCUGCCGGGCACCCCCACACCCGGACUCAUCUCUGCCAGCCGAACCCUCAGGCAGGGGCAGGGGCUUCCAGGAGGCCUGCCGUGGUGGCUGGCUCCUGCCCCUGCCCAGUCGCACCUUGUCCCUCCGACUCUGGAAACCCAAGUGCCUUUGCCAUUCUGUUUCCUGGACUGAGGAUGGCUUUGUGCAAACCACUGAGGCUGGGGAGGGAGCUCUUUCCUGCCUUCCCCCCACACUUGAAAAGCAGCUGGUGUGUGAGUGUGAGUGUGAGUGUGUGUGCAGGGGGUGGUGAAUAAGUCUCAGGGCCGAUGGUUUAAGUGGAAUCAUAAUCAGCUCCUCACGAGUGUUGUGCUCAAUGUGAAUGAUAACCCUAGGCUUUUGCUGGCUACAGAAGCAGCUGCGCCAACUUUGUCCCCCUGUUGGGGUCUCAGGGCUUGAGGACAGAAGCAGAGAGGAAGGAGGGGAGUAGGGACAGGGUCUUCAAGGUCCCCUGUUGUAGCUGAGGGGGACCCCAGCCUCUGGAAACCAGUUUCCUCUCCCCCCUGCCAGUGCUGGGAGCCAAGUCAGUUGACUUCAUCUUGGUUGGUUGGGGUGCCGACCGGACCUGAGUGAUCAGUGUAGACGGUGUCGGUGUGAAAGGAAAAACGAAUCCGCAAGAAUGUGCUUCGUGUUUUUGAAAACCUGCUCUUUUCUCUUGAGGUGCUGGGAGCCUCAGUCUUCUCUGGAUUUCGGUUUAUAAAUAACUUGGGGCGGGGCACGAUGAUUCUGUUUAGCACCAAAGCAAGUCCACUCAAAAAAGGAGGAGGAGGAGAAGAAGUUUCCCUUAUGGAGAAGAGAUUCUGGUUUCAUUCUGUAUUUUGUUUUUGUCUUGCAAACCGUAAAAAUAGUCUCUGCCUCUUCUCUGAAUUGGGGAAAAAGUCACUUGUGACUGUCCCCCUGCCCCUCCCCUAGGUGGUUAGGAAAGAAAGGGUGUCCCCCUUCCUGUUGUGAUGCCGCCCACGAGUACCCGGCAGGGUCCUAGAAAGUCCCCACUGAGACUCAGAAGGGAGGUUCAUUUUUUUAAAAAUAUAAAUCCCUUACCUGGGUUUCUUCCUCUUUUUGUUUUGUUCCUUGAACUGGAUUCGGCUCAGCUCCCAUGGAAGCAGCCGAUGGGUGUCCAGCUGUGACACCCGUAACCACCAGCUCACUUUCCUGUCGGGGCUUUGAGAACUCAGUGAUGUUAGUGUCACCCAGACAGGUGACCACAGAGGAGAGCGGUGAUUAAAACGAGCUGUGGAGCCACAGACCCUGAAUUUACCAGACCACAAGGCUUUUCUAGAAGUUUACCCUUUUAGAAAAACACCACCGCCACCAGACACGUGGCGAAGGGUGGAAGCCCCCAUGUGUUCGCCAAGCGCCGGGUUCUGGGCGUCACUGUCUCGAGCCCUGGUGGCUCUCACAUCCUGCCGUCUUAGGCGGGUGGUCCACGGGGUUGACAAGAGUCAAGCAGGUGUUCAUGGCUCUCCUUUCCCCCCGCUCUGUCAGGUUUCUGAAUCACAAAAAUGCUGUGAAAGGAAAUGUUAGAAUGAGGAUCUGCAUGAGAGAGUGCGACUCUGCCCACGGCUCUUUAACUCUCACACAGUUCUGCCCACAGCCAGGCAGGGCCGCUGGUGGGGGACGUGAGAUCCAGAGAGUUCAUCGUCUCUGAGAGCGAGGCAGCUUUGAUCUCCAAAUUGUUAUUGCUUUCACUAUUAUUGUACCGGAACUGCCUUUUCUUUUGGGGGGAGGCGGUAUCACAGAGGGUUCCCCCCUUUACUUGUUGUAAGCUAGUGCCAGUGGAGGAAAGGCUGGCCUCUCUGGGCUCAGAGUCUGCUUCGUGGCCAGGCCCCUGCCUUAGGCUUUCUGUGUCUGAAUGGUUCCUGGACACGUGUCUCUGUCCACUAGUCCCAUGGAUCACUCUUCCUUAGGUCCCUGCAGUCCACAGGCUGCCUUGGAUCCUCAACAGGGCCGACACUACCUACGGCCUGCGCCCUCAGCCACAUAGCCAGAUGUUGAAGUGUGUGGACAGGGACCAUUGAAGGAGGAGGGAUGCACGAAUUUAGAAGCCCAUCUUGUUGGGUGGGCCCAGUCGAAAAUAUGCUGGACCCAGGUCUAACCUAAAGUGAUCAUCAGUUCUUGUAGCAUUAAUGACAUGUUUUUAAAAAAACAUUGGAUGUGUGUCGUACAAGGUCUUUGGGGGACUCCGCGGUUUGCUCUGAUGGGGUCUCCCCCUGGCCGUUUGUUUGCCGGACCCUGAACUCACACUGGGCCUCCACCACUUCCCCGCUGUCUCAGGAGCAAGGCGUGGGCUCCGUUGUGGGAACUGGUUUGGGAGCCCCGUGGUCCUGAGUAGAGCCCAGCGGGCAGCCUGGGGCUGGCCAUGGCUUGUGAGUCUCUUGAAGAUUGUUCCGGAAUGUCUUGCCCAGCUGCUCCGGCGCUGUCUGUUCCCAUUGCAGGUCCUUAACAUUGACCCACUUGGGAAGGUGUCCCACCCCCAGUUCCAGGUGGAGAUGGUGACAAAUCUGUCCUCAUUUGGAGACGGGAGCCACCAACGGUCCUUCUCCAAACAGCAACCUGCAAUGGGGCUGUGGCCAGAAGGCUCCAGCAGCUGCCUCCGGCUUUGGGCCAGGCACUCCCAGGCGUCCCCUAAAAGUCCUUCCAGCCUCUGUCCCUAGUGUGGCUGGGCGCCAGCUCCAGGGAGUUCCCAUGGCAACCUUGAUGAUCGUUAAGGAACAUUGUCAGUUUUCUGAACAUGUGCUCAGAUGGAGAUCUGCUUUGGAAGGGAAGGACUGGGACAGCGAGAGACCUCGCUGGAGGAGCCCACGCCUGCUGACCACGAUACCUCAGCUCUGCAUCGCUUUUGGAGAGAAAUAGAUCAUCGUUUUAAGGGACUUCCCUCUUAAUUACCUGAAAACCAAUACCAAAGGCUGAUGUCAGUGUAUUUUGAUUUUUCAACGCUUUUUUCCUUUUAUCGCUAUUUUGCACUUAAAGUGAACAUGGUAAAUGUUUGAAAUAAAUAAUUUCUAAAAAAAGACACUUGAGAUGUCAUUUUGCUGCACG
rnacentral:lncRNA from 1 species